CCUACGGGGGGCUGCAGUGGGGAAUAUUGGGCAAUGGGCGCAAGCCUGACCCAGCAACGCCGCGUGAAGGAAGAAGGCUUUCGGGUUGUAAACUUCUUUUCUCAGGGACGAAGAAAGUGACGGUACCUGAGGAAUAAGCCACGGCUAACUACGUGCCAGCAGCCGCGGUAAUACGUAGGGGGCAAGCGUUCUCCGGAGUUACUGGGUUGAAAGGGCGUGUAGGCGGGACUGCAAGUCAGAGGUGAAAACCACGGGCUCAACCUGUGGCCUGCAUUUGAAACUGUAGUUCUUGAGUACUGGAGAGGCAGACAGAAUUCCUAGUGUAGCGGUGAAAUUCGUAGAUAUUAGGAGGAACACCAGUGGCGAAGGCGGUCAGCUGGACAUCAACUGACGCUGAGGCGCGAAAGCGUGGGGAGCAAACAGGAUUAGAUACCCGUGUAGUC
rnacentral:rRNA from 1 species